CCUACGGGAGGCAGCAGUGAGGAAUAUUGGUCAAUGGACGAGAGUCUGAACCAGCCAAGUAGCGUGAAGGAUGACUGCCCUAUGGGUUGUAAACUUCUUUUAUAAAGGAAUAAAACGAGGCACGUGUGCCUUUUUGCAUGUACUUUAUGAAUAAGGAUCGGCUAACUACGUGCCAGCAGCCGCGGUAAUACGGAGGAUUCGAGCGUUAUCCGGAUUUAUUGGGUUUAAAGGGAGCGUAGAUGGGUUGUUAAGUCAGUUGUGAAAGUUUGCGGCUCAAACGUAAAAUUGCAAUUGAUACUGGCAGUCUUGAGUACAGUUGAGGUAGGCGGAAUUCGUGGUGUAGCGGUGAAAUGCGUAGAUAGCACGAAGAACCCCGAUGGCGAAGGCAGCUUACUAAACUGUGACUGACAUUGAUGCUCGAAAGUGUGGGUAGCAAACAGGAUUAGAUACCCGAGUAGUC
rnacentral:rRNA from 1 species